UACGUAGGCAGCGAGCGUUGUUCGGAAUUACUGGGCGUAAAGAGUGUGCAGGCGGUUGGCCCAGUCUGUUGUGAAAUCUCCCGGCUUAACUGGGAGGGUGCAUCGGAAACUAGAAUGCUAGAGGGUGGGAGAGGUAAGCGGAAUUCCUGGUGUAGCGGUGAAAUGCGUAGAUAUCAGGAGGAACACCUGUGGUGUAGACAGCUUACUGGACCACUUCUGACGCUGAGACACGAAAGCGUGGGUAGCAAACAGG
rnacentral:rRNA from 1 species